UCCAAGAAAGUAAAGCCACUGAGGAGUCUGAGGUGGAAGGAUACUUGAGCCAGGAAGUCCUGGGCUAUAGAGUGCUAUGCCGAUCAGGUGUUUGCACUAAGGUAUCGAUAUGGUGGCCUCCCGGGAGUGGGGCCUCUAGGUUGUUUAAAGAGGAGUGAAUUGGCCCAGGUCAGGAACCGAGCAGGUCAAAACUCCUGUGCUGAUCAGUAGUGGGAUCCUGCCUGUGAACAGCCACCGCAUUCCAGUCUGGACAACAUAGCAAAGCCCCAGGU
rnacentral:SRP_RNA from 1 species